CACUGGGACAUUUGCACAGCUUCCUAAUUAAUUUUGAAUUUUUUGGGGUUACUCCUCGGCUUUUCAUUGUCCUAAUUUCUGUUGCCAGUACUCAAGGCACGCAAGGAAUGUUUGGCUUGAUAGUACUUGAUCAUUUUGGUUGUGAUAGUGUGGGCCUAGUCAUGCUUGCAAUGUUGGUGGUGAGAUUGCUAUUGCCAUGCUUCAAAAGGUUCCAAGGUUUGUGGCCCGAAAUAUUUGAGGUGCUUUUUAAGUUCUCCUAACUGUUGUCCACAAGGAUGGUGAAUAGUCACAUAUUGUAUAUAUAUGUCCUUCAGGUUCUUGAGUGUAACAUAAAAAUAGUGUUAGUGUAAAUGAUAUCUCGUCCCUUGUUCAACCCAUAUGGAUAGAUUUCAGUCAAUGUGCAAUAAAAUUUCAAUUUGGAAGAAUUUGCUUAUU